CUAGGCUUGAGAAGAGAUGAAGGACGUGGCAAGCUGCGAUAAGCUCGGGGUAGGCGCACGCAUCCUAUGAUCCCGAGAUGUCCGAAUGAGAAUCUUACACAUUUGUGUAUUCCAGUACAAUAGUAUUGGAAGUCGAACCGUGGGAAUUGAAGCAUCUUAGUACCACGAGGAAAAGAAAUCAAUUGAGAUUUCCCAAGUAGUGGCGAACGAAAAGGAAAUAGCCCAAACUGAAUCCUUCGGGAGAUGUGGUGUUUUGGUAUGAUAAUAUGGAAUCUUGGAGCACAGCUGAAAUGAUCUGGAAUGUUCUGGAAUAGAGGGUGAUACCCCCGUAAGCGAAGUGUGAAAAGUCCUAUUCAUACCCGAGUAGUUGUCCUUGGUAGUGGGCAAUGAAUAUGGGAGAAAGUAGCUUCCGAGGCUAAAUAUUUCUCAAGACCGAUAGUGGACUAGUACCGUGAGGGAAAGCUGAAAAGUACCCCGGAAGGGGGGCGAAAAGUGCAUGAAACCUAUUGGUUACAGACGUGCGUGGCAUGAAAGGUGAUUUUUUCAGAUUGGAGAUUCUAGCAAUAGAGUUGAAGAUUUGAUGUUCAAAUCAUCAGUGUCACGCGUUCCGUCUCGAAACACGGGCCAAGGAGCUAACCGUCAUGGCAAGCUUAAACUGAAAAAGUGAAAGCGAAGGGAAACCGAGCUCUCGCAGCUUCGUAAGAAGUCAGGAGAGGCGUGUGAAAGUGCGUAGAGUCAUGGCGGCUAGGCUAGAAGCCAGUCGAUCUAUUCCUGAGCUAGAUGAAGGAGGGCGAAAGCCCUCUGGAGGUCUUAAGACGUUCUGACGUGCAAAUCGUUGUUGUGACUUGGGAAUAGGGGUCAAAAACCAAUCUAGACUGGCGCUCGCUAGUUCCAACCGAAGCGUCUCGCAGGGCGUGGUUUGUGGAGAUAGCGUUUCCGGUAGAGCACUGAUAGAGGGGCGCGGGGGAGAAAUUCCUCACCCCUCAUUCAAACUCCGAACGGAUACGCAUCGUAGAAGCAGGCACACGGGCUCAUGUGGCGUAAGGCUCAUGGCCGAAAGGGGUUUAACCCAGACUGAAGUUAAGGUCCCCAAAUUUUUGCUAAGUGUCAAGCUAAAGAGCGUGUUCUCGCCAAGACAGCAGGGAGGUAAGCUCAGAAGCAGCUAUCCUUUAAAAAGUGUGUAACAACUUACCUGCCGAGGGGGGAUGCCUCAAAAACGGACGGGGCUAAAGCAAAAUACCGAUACUUUAGAUAAUUAUCAAUGGAUAAUUCGUGGUAGGUUGGCGUAGUGAUUGGGCCGAAGCAGGGCGAUGACGUCCUGUGGACCGAUUUCUAUUGCAGAUCUUGGCGGCAGUAACAGCAUAGUAUUGUGAGAAACAAUACCACCGCAAGCGCAAGGGUUUCCAGGCAAUGCGUUAUCAGCCUGGAGGUAGUCGAUCCUAAGAUGUGCCUCAACAGAGUACAUCGAAUGGGAAACUAGUUAAUAUUCUAGUACCUUGUAUCAAUCGUUUGAACUAUAUGGUUCGCUUCCGGAUAAGGAGUGUACAAUUAUCGUUGUAUCUAACUAUUCGAGGAUAGGGGAGUGUCGUAAUGACGAGAACCUUUCCGAGGUAGGAAUGGCUUCGCGUUAGCGAAGUUUUCUUGACUCCAGGAGACCAUGAAAGAUUGUGUAGUUAGAAAGAUACAAGUUCGUACCCAGAACCGACACAGGUGCGCUGGAUUAGAAAUCUAAGGUGCUACGGGUAUACCGUAUGGCGAGGGAAUUCGGCAAAUUAGUCCUGUAGCUUAGGUAUAAGGGAUGCCUGCGGUCUUCAUGAGGAAUGGGGAUCGCAGGUUGCAAUGACAAGGGGGUUUCGACUGUUUAAUAAAAACACAGGCGACUGCUAGUCCGAAAGGAUUUGUAUAGUCGCUGAAUCCUGGCCGGUGCCGGUACCUAAAACUUGGGUUCAACCGAGCUAAGGGCCGGUUAACGCCGGGAGUAACUCUGACUCUCUUAAGGUAGCCAAAUGCCUUGUCGGGUAAGUUCCGACGCGCAUGAAUGGAA
rnacentral:rRNA from 1 species